rnacentral:rRNA from 1 species
GACGAACGCUGGCGGCGUGCUUAACACAUGCAAGUCGAACGGAAAGGCCCUGCUUUUGUGGGGUGCUCGAGUGGCGAACGGGUGAGUAACACGUGAGUAACCUGCCCUUGACUUUGGGAUAACUUCAGGAAACUGGGGCUAAUACCGGAUAGGAGCUCCUGCUGCAUGGUGGGGGUUGGAAAGUUUCGGCGGUUGGGGAUGGACUCGCGGCUUAUCAGCUUGUUGGUGGGGUGGGGGCUUGCCAAGGCUUUGACGGGUAGCCGGCCUGGGAGGGUGACCGGCCCCAUUGGGCCUGAGGUACGGCCCGGACUCCUUCGGGGGGCAGCAGUGGGGACUAUUGCACACUGGGCGGAAGCCUGAUGCAGCAACGCCGCGUGCGGGAUGACGGCCUUCGGGUUGUAAACCGCUUUCGCCUGUGACGAAGCGUGAGUGCCGGUACUGGGUAAAGAAGCACCGGCUAACUACGU